UACAGAGGGUGCGAGCGUUAAUCGGAAUUACUGGGCGUAAAGCGUGCGUAGACGGUUACGUAAGUCGGGUGUGAAAGCCCCGGGCUCAACCUGGGAAUGGCAUUGGAAACUGGCGACCUAGAGUGCGGUAGAGGGUAGUGGAAUUCCCGGUGUAGCAGUGAAAUGCGUAGAGAUCGGGAGGAACAUCCGUGGCGAAGGCGACUACCUGGACCAGCACUGACACUGAGGCACGAAAGCGUGGGGAGCAAACAGG
rnacentral:rRNA from 1 species